GCACAGACUGGUGCCUGCCUAUCUCUCUAACUCAGCAAUUUCCAUUCUUCUCCUUCCUCUUAGUCUCCAGCCUCUCUGGUCUUCCUUCUGUCACUAGAACAAGCCAAGUCCAUUUCCACCUCUGGGGCUUUAACUUUACAGUUCCCUUGCCUGGACUGCCCUUCCCCACUUCCGGAGUGGCAGGCUCCUCCUCGUGCUGCCACCUUGUGGGCGGAAGAGAUCCUGCUCAGAGGUCUCUCCCGGACAGCCAUUCCUCUGAUGUCAGGUCCCCAGACAGUGUCAGGCUCUGGCCAGGAUGCUGGGAGUUGAUUCAUUCACCCGAUUAUUUGACAGUAUUUGUUGAGUUCCUACUACAUGCCAGGCACCUGUGCUUGGCGUUGCGGAUCCAACACGGGAAGACACAGGAGGGGAGCUUGGAGGCAAACCAUACCUGAUAACAGCCGCUGACAAGUGUUGGGUUCUCCUUAUGUGCAGGGCACUGCAGAG
rnacentral:lncRNA from 1 species